rnacentral:rRNA from 1 species
GUCUCUAAAACUAAAAAAUUUGGCGGUAUUUUAGUCUUUUCAGAGGAACCUGUUUUUUAAUUGAUAAUCCACGAUUUUAUUUACCUUAAUUUUAAAUUUGUAUAUCGUUGUAGUUUGAAUAUCUUAUGAUAAUGUUUUCAGAUCAAGGUGCAGUUUAUAUUAAGGUUAAAAUGGGUUACAUUUUAAAUUUAUAGUAAAUUGGAUUUGUUAGUAAGCUCUAAAAUAUGCACAUAUUGCCCGUCGCUUUCAUUUUAAGAUGAAAUAAGUCGUAACAAAGUAGGCCUAUUGGAAAAUGGGCCUGGAAUGCAAGUUAGAGCUUGAUAAGCAUUUUAUUUACAUUAAAAAGUUAAUUGUUAAAUUCAAUUUAACUUGAUUAUAAAUUUUUAUUUUAUUUAUUAUUUUUGGGUUAUUAAUUAAAAAGUUAAUUUGUUUGAUUUUUUAUUUAAAUAAUUUUAUUAUAGUUGAUUGUACUGUGAAGGAUGUUUUUAUAUUUAUAAAGAAUAAUUUAUUUUUAGUACCUUGUGUAUCAGGGUUAAUUAAUUUACUUUUCUCGAAUUUUAAAGAUUUAUUUUCAAUGUUUAAAUAUUGUUUAUAAUAAGUAAUUAGAAAUGAAACGUUAUUCGUUUUUUAAUAUAUCUAGUUUUUUACGAAAUUAAUUUAAUUAAUAAGUUUUUAAUAUAAUUAUAUGGGAUGAGCUUUUGGGUAAAUUGUUAAAACUUUAAGUUUUUAUAUAAUUGGUAUGAUUAGAAAUUUUAAUUCCUUUAAUUUUGUAAUAAUUUAUAGGUUUAAUUUUUUAGUAAAAUGAAUAUUUAAUUUAGUUUAUAUUAAAAUAAUGAUUAAAUUAGUAUGAUAAUGUUAAGGAAUUCGGCAAAUAUCUUUUUUACCUGUUUAAUAAAAACAUGUCCUUUUGUUUUUAAUUUAAGGUCUGGCCUGCUCAAUGAUUAAAUAGCUGCAGUAUUUUGACUGUACAAAGGUAGCAUAAUCAUUAGUUUUUUAAUUGAAAGCUGGAAUGAAUGGUUGGAUAAGAAAAGUUCUGUCUCUGUAACUUUAUUUUUGAGUAAGAAUGCUCAAAUUUUAUUGAAAGACGAGAAGACCCUAUAGAGUUUUUUUGUUGGGGUGAUUUAAAAAUUUAGUAAACUUUUUAAUUUAAUGAAUUUUUGAUCCUAGAUUAAUAGAGAAAAUUACCUUAGGGAUAACAGCGUAAUUUUUAUUAAGAGUUCUUAUCG